AUGAAUGCUUUGAAAAGAAGAGUACAUCCUUUUGACAUAUACAGAGAGCCUUGUUCGGUGCAAAUAGGCGAUGAAGAAACGGUGGAAGAUGGUCUUUGAGCAGGAUAGGUGAGUUUGUAUGAGCCUAUCACGGGAAGCACCCGUUAUCGUGCAGCAGUAUGCGAAGCAAUUCAAGUACUGAACGAGGUUGUUGAUGCGAGUCAACAACAAAUCAAGGUGGUAACGCGGAAGUUGUGCUUUCGUCCUUUGU
rfam:Enterococcus sp. RIT-PI-f contig_3, whole genome shotgun sequence.